UACGGGGGGGGCAAGCGUUGUUCGGAAUUACUGGGCGUAAAGGGCUCGUAGGCGGCCAACUAAGUCAGACGUGAAAUCCCUCGGCUUAACCGGGGAACUGCGUCUGAUACUGGAUGGCUUGAGUUUGGGAGAGGGAUGCGGAAUUCCAGGUGUAGCGGUGAAAUGCGUAGAUAUCAGGAGGAACACCGAUGGCGAAGGCAGCUCGCUGGGACGGUACUGACGCUGAGGCGCGAAAGCGUGGGGAGCAAACAGG
rnacentral:rRNA from 1 species